AUGAAGCAACCAAUGGAUACGAUUCUGAAACUGUAAUUGGGUCUGGUGGUAUUGGCACAGUCUACGAAGGGAAACUGAAGCAGAUUAAAGCACCAGUGGCUAUUAAAGUAUUGAACCUGCAACACAAGAAAGCGUAUAAGAGACUGGUGGCGGAAUGCAACACAACAAGAACCCUCAGGCAUAGAAAUCUUGUGAAGAUUGUAUCUUACUGCUCUAGCACAGACAACCAAGGUAAAGCAUUCGGAGCUCUAGUUUACGAAUUUGUGGGCAACGGGAGCCUGGAUAAAUGGCUGCACGGCAGUAUCAGUGAUGGCAAAAACCAAUCCCACCAUCUCAGCCUUCUCCAAAGACUCAACAUCGCAAUAGACGUGGCAUCUGCAUUGCACUAUCUUCAUGAUCUCAGCGUAACGUCAACCAUCCACUGCAAUUUAAAGCCAAGCAACGUGCUCCUGGACGAAGACAUGGUUGCUCACGUAAGCGAUUUUGGUCUAGCGAGACUACUUGCACCAUCCGAAAAACACGCAAGCACUAUUUGCCUACAAGGGAUGGUUGGCUAUGCUCCUCCAGGUAAUGAAAUGGAAUUCAAGGACUGAUUCCUAAUUAGAAUCUCUAAUUAGCAUAUUGAAAGACUAAUUACUAAAUAGAAACCCUAACCUGCAGAGUAUGGAAUGGGCUCCACGGCAUUGAAGGAAGGGGAUGUGUACAGCUACGGGAUCCUAUUGCUGGAAAUGCUUUCAGGGAAAAGACCAACAGACGAUAUGUUCAAGGACGGUAUGAAUCUCCGUGAGUUGGUGAAGG
rnacentral:lncRNA from 1 species